CUACGGGGCGCUCCAGUUAGGCAUAAUCUACAAUGCACGCAAGUGUGAUAGUUUGAGCCAGAGUGCGUUUCUAUUGAAACGCUUUUGUGAAAUGUAAAAAGUCUCACGAAUAAGGACUGGGUAAGACGAGUGCCAGCCGCCGCGGUAAAACUCGCGGUCCAAGUCGCAGCCAUUUUUAUUGGGUCUAAAACAUCCGUAGCUUGCUUAGUAAGUCUCUUGUGAAAUCCUGUAUCUCAAAUACAGGUCGGGCAAGAGGUACUGCUGAGCUAGAGACUGGAAGACGGAAAAAGUAUGUUCAAAGUAGCGGUAAAAUGUUUUAAUCUUGAACAGACUAACAAUAGCGAAGGCAUUUUCCGAGGACAGUUCUGACAGUAAGGGAUGAAGGCUAGGGGCGCAAAACGGAUUAGAUACCCCCGUAGUC
rnacentral:rRNA from 1 species